ACGAUACGUAGCCGACCUGAGAGGGUGAUCGGCCACACUGGAACUGAGACACGGUCCAGACUCCUACGGGAGGCAGCAGUAGGGAAUCUUCCGCAAUGGGCGAAAGCCUGACGGAGCAACGCCGCGUGAGUGAUGAAGGUCUUCGGAUCGUAAAACUCUGUUAUUAGGGAAGAACAAGGAUGUAAGUAACUAUGCAUCCCUUGACGGUACCUAAUCAGAAAGCCACGGCUAACUACGUGCCAGCAGCCGCGGUAAUACGUAGGUGGCAAGCGUUAUCCGGAAUUAUUGGGCGUAAAGCGCGCGUAGGCGGUUUUUUAAGUCUGAUGUGAAAGCCCACGGCUCAACCGUGGAGGGUCAUUGGAAACUGGAAAACUUGAGUGCAGAAGAGGAAAGUGGAAUUCCAUGUGUAGCGGUGAAAUGCGCAGAGAUAUGGAGGAACACCAGUGGCGAAGGCGACUUUCUGGUCUGCAACUGACGCUGAUGUGCG
rnacentral:rRNA from 1 species